ACUCUAUAAAGGGAACAGAAUGACUCUCUAUGGGUCCAGGUUAACACUCUAUAAAGGGGAACAGAAUGACUCUCUAUGGGUCCAGGUUAACACUCUAUAAAGGGGAACAGAAUGACUCUAUGGGUCCAGGUUAACACUCUAUAAAGGGAACAGAAUGACUCUCUAUGGGUCCAGGUUAACACUCUAUAAAGGGAACAGAAUGACUCUAUAGGUCCAGGUUAACACUCUAUAAAGGGGAACAGAAUGACUCUCUAUGGGUCCAGGUUAACACUCUAUAAAGGGGAACAGAAUGACUCUCUAUGGGUCCAGGUUAACACUCUAUAAAGGGAACAGAAUGACUCUCUAUGGGUCCAGGUUAACACUCUAUAAAGGGGAACAGAAUGACUCUCUAUGGGUCCAGGUUAACACUCUAUAAAGGGGAACAGAAUGACUCUCUAUGGGUCCAGGUUAACACUCUAUAAAGGGGAACAGAAUGACUCUAUGGGUCCAGGUUAACACUCUAUAAAGGGGAACAGAAUGACUCUAUGGGUCCAGGUUAACACUCUAUAAAGGGAACAGAAUGACUCUAUGGGUCCAGGUUAACACUCUAUAAAGGGAAUAGAAUGACUCUAUGGGUCCAGGUUAACACUCUAUAAAGGGAACAGAAUGACUCUAUGGGUCCAGGUUAACACUCUAUAAAGGGGAACAGAAUGACUCUAUGGGUCCAGGUUAACACUCUAUAAAGGGGAACAGAAUGACUCUAUGGGUCCAGGUUAACACUCUAUAAAGGGGAACAGAAUGACUCUCUAUGGGUCCAGGUUAACACUCUAUAAAGGGAACAGAAUGACUCUAUGGGUCCAGGUUAACACUCUAUAAAGGGGAACAGAAUGACUCUCUAUGGGUCCAGGUUAACACUCUAUAAAGGGGAACAGAAUGACUCUAUGGGUCCAGGUUAACACUCUAUAAAGGGAACAGAAUGACUCUCUAUGGGUCCAGGUUAACACUCUAUAAAGGGGAACAGAAUGACUCUAUGGGUCCAGGUUAACACUCUAUAAAGGGGAACAGAAUGACUCUAUGGGUCCAGGUUAACACUCUAUAAAGGGGAACAGAAUGACUCUCUAUGGGUCCAGGUUAACACUCUAUAAAGGGGAACAGAAUGACUCUAUGGGUCCAGGUUAACACUCUAUAAAGGGAAUAGAAUGACUCUAUGGGUCCAGGUUAACACUCUAUAAGGGGAACAGAAUGACUCUCUAUGGGUCCAGGUUAACACUCUAUAAAGGGGAACAGAAUGACUCUAUGGGUCCAGGUUAACACUCUAUAAAGGGAAUAGAAUGACUCUAUGGGUCCAGGUUAACACUCUAUAAAGGGAACAGAAUGACUCUAUGGGUCCAGGUUAACACUCUAUAAAGGGGAACAGAAUGACUCUAUGGGUCCAGGUUAACACUCUAUAAAGGGAACAGAAUGACUCUCUAUGGGUCCAGGUUAACACUCUAUAAAGGGAACAGAAUGACUCUCUAUGGGUCCAGGUUAACACUCUAUAAAGGGGAACAGAAUGACUCUCUAUAGGUCCAGGUUAACACUCUAUAAAGGGAACAGAAUGACUCUAUAGGUCCAGGUUAACACUCUAUAAAGGGGAACAGAAUGACUCUAUGGGUCCAGGUUAACACUCUAUAAAGGGAACAGAAUGACUCUAUGGGUCCAGGUUAACACUCUAUAAAGGGGAACAGAAUGACUCUAUGGGUCCAGGUUAACACUCUAUAAAGGGAAUAGAAUGACUCUCUAUAGGUCCAGGUUAACACUCUAUAAAGGGAACAGAAUGACUCUCUAUGGGUCCAGGUUAACACUCUAUAAAGGGAACAGAAUGACUCUCUAUGGGUCCAGGUUAACACUCUAUAAAGGGAACAGAAUGACUCUCUAUGGGUCCAGGUUAACACUCUAUAAAGGGAAUAGAAUGACUCUAUAGGUCCAGGUUAACACUCU